rnacentral:rRNA from 1 species
UGAACGCUGGCGGCGUGCUUAACACAUGCAAGUCGAACGAACCUUCGGGUUAGUGGCGGACGGGUGAGUAACGCGUGAGAAUCUGCCCUCAGGAGGGGGAUAACAGCUGGAAACGGCUGCUAAUACCCCAUAUGCCGCGAGGUGAAAUGAAUUUCGCCUGAGGAUGAGCUCGCGUCUGAUUAGCUAGUUGGUGUAGGUAAUGGCUCACCAAGGCAUCGAUCAGUAGCUGGUCUGAGAGGAUGAUCAGCCACACUGGGACUGAGACACGGCCCAGACUCCUACGGGAGGCAGCAGUGGGGAAUUUUCCGCAAUGGGCGAAAGCCUGACGGAGCAACGCCGCGUGAGGGAUGAAGGCCUCUGGGCUGUAAACCUCUUUUAUCAAGGAAGAAGAUCUGACGGUACUUGAUGAAUAAGCCACGGC